AACAUCAUGAAACUCCUUCUUUGCAAUUUCCAAAACUUCUUUCAAUGUGAAUUCUACCUUAGCGUUUAAUAUACGUUCUUCCAACACCCCUUUCAAAUUUGUUGCCGCUUCAAUGUCAGAAAGUAGCUUAUAAGCAAUUGAUUUACCCUUAUCUUUUGUCUCCCUUGUUUUUUCUUCCAAUGAUGCUGAGGUAUCCUUUACAGGUAAUUCUUGUGAAGCUGCCUCCCGA
rnacentral:lncRNA from 1 species